rnacentral:lncRNA from 1 species
GGCUGGAAAAAAAAAAGGGACUCCUCCUUCUUCCAAAUAGCAGCAACGUCAAACCUCAUCUUGAGAAAAACACCAACGGCCUCCUUCACCAAAACCAGCUUCCUCACCACAUUUCGUCGCGAAUAGUCUGGUGACAACCACAUUUGAGCAACAUCGACAAACCACCAUUAAAACCAGCUAAAAAUAUUCUGAAAUAGCUCCUAAAAAUACUGCGAGCUUGACUGCAAAAAGCCUCUUUUUCAACCUCAAAACGGAGGUCGACGGCGAGCCCGAUUUCCUCGCUUGAAGUCGCCGUUGGAAAUCUCCAGUCGUCGGUUCUGGUUGGAGUUGCCAACGAAGUUCUCCAUGCCCGGUCUGGCUUGUUCGAGUUCUCUUGUCGAGUUUACAAUCCUUGUAUUCAUCUUCAUGUAUAUAAAGUUUCAGACUUUGCAAAUAGUUGCUGCCUCGUACUGGCUUCUAAUUUUGUUCAUAUUUAGAAAGAUAAAUGUUUUAUGCUGCAUUACAGGUCCGUUUCUCAGUUUAUUUUGUUCUUCCAUGCUCUUGUUAUCUUGUUAAAUAGUGUAAAGAGCCUUUAACUAUGAAAUGCAUCUGAAUGCUAUUUGUUUGCUUCUGUUACGUAUAAAGCAUGAAAAGUUCAUUUCACCUUCAAUUAAUUUAUUAUUAAGUAUGUCUUAAAUGGUAUAUUUUAAUCAAUUGUUG